AUAGUAGUAUGAUAGGUGUUGUUUUACAGGGUCAGUCAUAGUAGUAUGAUAGGUGUUGUUUUACAGGGUCAGUCAUAGUAGUGUGAUAGGUGUUGUUUUACAGGGUCAGACAUAGUAGUAUGAUAGGUGUUGUUUUACAGGGUCAGUCAUAGUAGUAUGAUAGGUGUUGUUUUACAGGGUCAGUCAUAGUAGUAUGAUAGGUGUUGUUUUACAGGGUCAGUCAUAGUAGUAUGAUAGGUGUUGUUUUACAGGGUCAGUCAUAGUAGUAUGAUAGGUGUUGUUUUACAGGGUCAGACAUAGUAGUAUGAUAGGUGUUGUUUUACAGGGUCAGUCAUAGUAGUAUGAUAGGUGUUGUUUUACAGGGUCAGUCAUAGUAGUAUGAUAGGUGUUGUUUUACAGGGUCAGUCAUAGUAGUGUGAUAGGUGUUGUUUUACAGGGUCAGUAGUAUGAUAGGUGUUGUUUUACAGGGUCAGUCAUAGUAGUAUGAUAGGUGUUGUUUUACAGGGUCAGUCAUAGUAGUGUGAUAGGUGUUGUUUUACAGGGUCAGUCAUAGUAGUGUGAUAGGUGUUGUUUUACAGGGUCAGUCAUAGUAGUAUGAUAGGUGUUGUUUUACAGGGUCAGUCAUAGUAGUGUGAUAGGUGUUGUUUUACAGGGUCAGUCAUAGUAGUAUGAUAGGUGUUGUUUUACAGGGUCAGUCAUAGUAGUAUGAUAGGUGUUGUUUUACAGGGUCAGUCAUAGUAGUGUGAUAGGUGUUGUUUUACAGGGUCAGACAUAGUAGUAUGAUAGGUGUUUUACAGGGUCAGUCAUAGUAGUAUGAUAGGUGUUGUUUUACAGGGUCAGUCAUAGUAGUAUGAUAGGUGUUGUUUUACAGGGUCAGUCAUAGUAGUAUGAUAGGUGUUGUUUUACAGGGUCAGUCAUAGUAGUGUGAUAGGUGUUGUUUUACAGGGUCAGUCAUAGUAGUAUGAUAGGUGUUGUUCUACAGGGUCAGUCAUAGUAGUGUGAUAGGUGUUGUUUUACAGGGUCAGUCAUAGUAGUAUGAUAGGUGUUGUUUUACAGGGUCAGUCAUAGUAGUAUGAUAGGUGUUGUUUUACAGGGUCAGUCAUAGUAGUGUGAUAGGUGUUGUUUUACAGGGUCAGUCAUAGUAGUAUGAUAGGUGUUGUUUUACAGGGUCAGUCAUAGUAGUAUGAUAGGUGUUGUUUUACAGGGUCAGUCAUAGUAGUAUGAUAGGUGUUGUUUUACAGGGUCAGUCAUAGUAGUAUGAUAGGUGUUGUUUUACAGGGUCAGUCAUAGUAGUGUGAUAGGUGUUGUUUUACAGGGUCAGUCAUAGUAGUAUGAUAGGUGUUGUUUUACAGGGUCAGUCAUAGUAGUAUGAUAGGUGUUGUUUUACAGGGUCAGUCAUAGUAGUGUGAUAGGUGUUGUUUUACGGGGUCAGUCAUAGUAGUAUGAUAGGUGUUGUUUUACAGGGUCAGUCAUAGUAGUAUGAUAGGUGUUGUUUUACAGGGUCAGUAUAGUAGUAUGAUAGGUGUUGUUUUACAGGGUCAGUCAUAGUAGUAUGAUAGGUGUUGUUUUACAGGGUCAGUCACAGUAGUAUGAUAGGUGUUGUUUUACAGGGUCAGUCAUAGUAGUGUGAUAGGUGUUGUUUUACAGGGUCAGUCAUAGUAGUAUGAUAGGUGUUGUUUUACAGGGUCAGUCAUAGUAGUAUGAUAGGUGUUGUUUUACAGGGUCAGUCAUAGUAGUGUGAUAGGUGUUGUUUUAUAGGGUCAGUCAUAGUAGUAUGAUAGGUGUUGUUUUACAGGGUCAGUCAUAGUAGUAUGAUAGGUGUUGUUUUACAG